GUCUACAGCUAUGCCACCCUGAAUAACCCUGAUCCCGUCUGAUCUCAGAAGCUAAGCAAGGUCAGGCCUGGUUAGUUCUUGGAUGAGAGAUCACCUAAGAAGACCAGGUGCUGUAGGUG
rnacentral:rRNA from 1 species